GUUGCAGAACGAAGUAAAAUCAGUUGGUUUUCGUCCCUCACAACACGGAAGUCGUCAUUUCACCUUUACUGACAGUCUAUGCUCCAAAGGAGGAUUGAUUGCAAUAGAUGCAAACGUUGCACUUAAUUUAUUUUGCAUUAUUGAACAAAGGAUAAACAUUGUGAGCUAUUUUAUUCGAUUGUAUAAUGAUACAUUUGUCUCGUAGCAAGCGACUUUAGCUACUAUACUGGAUGUAUCUACUAGUAGUGAAAGAAACCAGCUAGAUACUUGCAUAUUCCUCUACUACAAAACUCCAUCCACAUCCUGGGGAGAAGAAAGAGCUUCUGACAACCAUAGAUUACUCAUAUGUUCCAAAUAAAAGAUGAACAGGAUUGUGUACAUGGAUGAUGACGGUGACAGGUCAUGCCUGCCCGUCGAAAACAGUGGGAGUCUCUAUUACAGAAGAAGCCAUACUGAGGCUGGCCGCCUGGCUCUGAACUCACCACUGAUGGGUGUGGCCAGGGACUUCCUGCUUCCUUCCGGGUGGUGUGGUGGGCCACAGGAUCCAUGUUUGAUUAUUUCUUCAAGGAAAAGUUUCCUGAGGCUAUACAAGAUUCAAGCCAGAUUCAAGUGGCUAAAAAACGGCCAACUCAUAAUCAGUAAAUGCUAGUUCUUGGACCAAUCAAAGACGGAAAUCCGACAGCCUCCAGCAGGCAUGCUAAAAUAGACUGGUUGAAAACUCUAGCGGCAAUUAGGUGCCCCCUGCGGAGAGCGAGCCGACAUUAACCAAUAAAGGGUACAUUUCCCUUGCAAAUGAGCAUCCCUUUUGCUUCUCCGCGCUGAUAAAUAUCCAUCACUCUUUUAACCCGAGGAGAGAGGGGAGAGAGGCCGAAGCGCUUGCACCAAAGAAUUAGAGCAUCAAUACCACUGUCUGUACAGCAAGUUGUCGAUGCGCCUCCCUGCAAUUUCCCCCGUUUUUGUUUUAUCGGAAAUGUUAAAAUGAUUCUUAAACUAUUCUGAAGGCCCCAUUAAUGAUGACCCAGUGGUAGUGCCCCCUUCAUUAAAAUGUUUAACAUGUCAUCUAUCAUCCUGGCUGCUGCUUAGUGGCAGCGUACCAUACUACCGGGCUCCAAUGACUCAUUGAAAAGUAAUGGGUUUGUUAGCGCAACACGUGUAACCAUCUUUUGAAGGUACGCCUGUUGCUUCUGUGAAGAAUAACCAUAGGCGACUCGUUUCAAGAGGCAUUCUGUACCGGCUGAAUACGACCAGUGAGUCUUGUAUUAGGUAGAGGGAGUUCUUUCAUUGAGUGUGUUCUGAGCCGCUGAUUAAAGUGUUACUAAACGCUGUUAGAUUGCAGCGCAUGAAGGCCUACAGUACGUUCAACCCGCCCCGCUUGCGCAUUCUUUUGCUGCAACGAUUCUUCAGCACACGCGAUUACCUUCCAAUGCACCGGCAGGAGACGCGUCCUGCUCACGCUAAAGGCAAUGGAACGAAAAUGGCUGCAGCUAGCCCGUGGUUUCAGUAAUUGCAUAAAAGCAGGAAAUCUGUCGUGCAAAAUCUAUGCGGGCGUUUUACCAUUU